UACGAAGGGGGCUAGCGUUGCUCGGAAUCACUGGGCGUAAAGGGUGCGUAGGCGGGUCUUUAAGUCAGGGGUGAAAUCCUGGAGCUCAACUCCAGAACUGCCUUUGAUACUGAGGAUCUUGAGUUCGGGAGAGGUGAGUGGAACUGCGAGUGUAGAGGUGAAAUUCGUAGAUAUUCGGAAGAACACCAGUGGCGAAGGCGGCUCACUGGCCCGGUACUGACGCUGAGUGUGCGAAAAGCGUGGGGAGCAAACAGG
rnacentral:rRNA from 1 species